UAGCUGUGAUUCCAAGAUCUCGUUGGCCUA
rnacentral:piRNA from 1 species